rnacentral:rRNA from 1 species
UCCGGUGACCCUAUCGGAGGGGCCACACCCGUUCCCAUCCCGAACACGGAAGUUAAGCCCUCUGGAGCCGAUCAUACUGCCUUCGCAGGGAGGUGGGAAAGUAGGUAGUCGCCGGAU